CUGUGCUUACUUCAGCUACAAAUAGAUUAAAACUGGACCCAUACAGAGAGGAUUAGCAUGACCUUUGCCCCACGAUUUUCAGUAGUGAAAAAUUGCAUUUUCUU
ensembl:snRNA U6 U6 spliceosomal RNA